rnacentral:misc_RNA from 1 species
ACACCUCAACUCUUGUGGCCUGCCACGAUGAGCUUGGACUUUGGGGGUCUUGCCGGCGUACCGUCGGCUCCUCUCGAAUGAAUCAGCUUGCCAGUGUUCGGUGGCAUCACGGGUGUGAUAACUAUCUACGCUUGUGGUUUUCUGCCGGGCAACCUCCAGCAAUGGAGGUUCGCUGGAGCUCACAAAUGUCUCUCCUCGGUGAGGACAGCUUUUCGAAC